UACGGAGGGUGCAAGCGUUAUCCGGAUUUACUGGGUUUAAAGGGUGCGUAGGUGGGUCUGUAAGUCAGUGGUGAAAUCUUCAAGCUUAACUUGGAAACUGCCAUUGAUACUAUAGAUCUUGAAUUAUCUGGAGGUGAGCGGAAUAUGUCAUGUAGCGGUGAAAUGCUUAGAUGUGACAUAGAACACCAAUUGCGAAGGCAGCUCACUACGGAUGUAUUGACACUGAGGCACGAAAGCGUGGGGAUCAAACAGG
rnacentral:rRNA from 1 species